rnacentral:tRNA from 1 species
GAGGGUAUAGCUCAGUGGUAGAGUGUGUGCUUAGAAUGCACAAGGUCCUGGGUUCAAUCCCCAGUACCUCCA